rnacentral:tRNA from 1 species
GACUAUUUAGUUUAUUUAAAACAAAUGUUUUGAAAACAUUAAAAAAGUAUUUAUCUACUUAAUAGUUA